AGCGAACGUUAGCGGCAGGCUUAACACAUGCAAGUCGAGCGAGAAAGGGGCUUCGGCCCUGAGUAAAGCGGCGGACGGGUGCGUAACACGUGGAUAAUCUGCCCUUCAGUGGGGAAUAACGUUCCGAAAGGAACGCUAAUGCCGCAUGUCACAGCAAUGUCUCUGGACAAAGUUGGAAAAGGGGACGCCCGCAAGGGGUUCUCGCUGGAGGAUGAGUCCGCGGCCCAUCAGCUUGUUGGCGGGGUAAUGGCCCACCAAGGCGAAGACGGGUAGCUGGUCUGAGAGGAUGACCAGCCACACUGGGACUGAGACACGGCCCAGACUCCUACGGGAGGCAGCAGUGGGGAAUAUUGGACAAUGGGGGCAACCCUGAUCCAGCCAUGCCGCGUGAGUGAAGAAGGCCCUCGGGUUGUAAAGCUCUUUUGUCCGGAAAGAAAAGCAUCUGGUUAAUACCCGGGUGUUCUGACGGUACCGGAAGAAUAAGCACCGGCUAACUUCGUGCCAGCAGCCG
rnacentral:rRNA from 1 species